UGUUCAUCUGAGACUUAAGUUUGGGGUUU
rnacentral:piRNA from 1 species